GACGAACGCUGGCGGCGCGCUUAAUACAUGCAAGUCGAACGAGAAGCCAGAGCUUGCUCUGGUGGAAAGUGGCGAACGGGUGAGUAACACGUGAGAAACCUGCCCCAAAGAUUGGGAUAAGCCUUGGAAACGAGGUCUAAUACCAAAUACCUUCUUUUUAACACAUGUUAAAAAGAAGAAAUGCUCCGGCGCUUUGGGAUGGUCUCGCGAUCUAUCAGCUUGUUGGUGAGGUGACGGCUCACCAAGGCAUCGACGGAUAGCUGGUCUGAGAGGACGUCCAGCCACAUUGGAACUGAGACACGGUCCAAACUCCUACGGGAGGCAGCAGUAGGGAAUCUUGCACAAUGAGGGAAACCUUGAUGCAGCGACGCCGCGUGCGGGACGAAGGCCCUAGGGUUGUAAACCGCUUUCAGUAGGGACGAAAGUGACGGUACCUACAGAAGAAGCCCCGGCCAACUAUAGUGCCAGCAGCCG
rnacentral:rRNA from 1 species